ACUAUUUAGCACCAAAAAAAACUUAAAAAAAACAACUGACUUUUCAAACCUCAAUGUAAGCAGCAGAUUAGUAGCAAACCAAUUAGAAUGUUUACAACUGCGCAGUAAGCGCACUAUUUGACACUUCGAUUGGACUCACAAAAAUGAAGUGCACCCCACUAAAAUACUAUUUAGCAGUUUAGCACCCAAAUAAUUUUAAGUUUUAAAACUGCAAUGUGACAGCAGUAUUUGACGCUUCUAUUUGACUCUCAGAUAUGAAGUGCAUCCCACUAAUGUACUAUCCCAC